UACAGAGGUGGCAAGCGUUGUUCGGAAUUACUGGGCGUAAAGGGCGCGUAGGCGGCCUUCUAAGUCAGACGUGAAAUCCCCCGGCUUAACCUGGGAACUGCCUUUGUGACUGCAAGGCUUGAGUGCGGCAGAGGGGGAUGGAAUUCCGCGUGUAGCAGUGAAAUGCGUAGAUAUGCGGAGGAACACCGAUGGCGAAGGCGAGCCCCUGGGCCUGCACUGACGCUCAUGCACGAAAGCGUGGGGAGCAAACAGG
rnacentral:rRNA from 1 species